rnacentral:rRNA from 1 species
CCCUUAGAUGUUCUGGGCCGCACGCGCGCUACACUGACGAAUGCAACGAGCUUAUAACCUUGGCCGAAAGGUCUGGGUAAUCUCCAAAUUUCGUCGUGAUGGGGAUAGAUUAUUGCAAUUAUUAAUCUUCAACGAGGAAUGCCUAGUAAGCGCAAGUCAUCAGCUUGCGUUGAUUACGUCCCUGCCCUUUGUACACACCGCCCGUCGCUCCUACCGUUUGAAUGGUCCGGUGAAGCGUUCGGACCGUGGCCUUUGGACGGUUCGCCGUCUGUUGGCUGCGGGAAGUUCGUUAAACCUUAUCAUUUAGAGGAAGGAGAAGUCGUAACA